UGGUCGUGGUCGCGGUCGUGGUC
rnacentral:siRNA from 1 species